ensembl:lncRNA
CGCCCCCUCCUUUUUUGACCUCCGAGGAGCCUGUCUGUGCAUGUGUAGUGGAGAAGGUCUCCUGACUUUGAGAAUGAGGCACACGUGGUCUCUUACUGCCUGUCUGGGCAGGGCCCCGCCUCCUCCCUCAAUUGUCCUACUAUUUUAGUCUCAGAGUAUCGGUCCACAGAGAACCAGUGCCAACUGUUUGCUCCGGGGCCCAUCUGUCUCCUGCCUCAGGAUGACUGGCAAGCAGUCCCCUGUUGACACAGUGUAGUGAUGAUUUCACCCCAGUGAUUCUGGUUCCUCUCUAGAAAUAGCUCCUCACUGAAGCCACAGAGAAAAUCCAAAUUUCCCAGGAAAAUAAGACGGAGGAAUUGGGGAUUAGGAAACAUAUCACUCACGCCCUGAGCUCCCAGGGCAGCAACAGAGCUACAGCAGCAUUCAUCUGGGGCCACAGGGUCCCUGGGCAGAUGCAGGCUGUCCCUUCCCGGCCUUCAUCUGGGCCCCUGCAGGGGGGACCCUUGCGCUAGGAGGGUCAAGCGGAGCAGAGCUUCCUCAGUGCAACCUCAAAAGUCGAACUACUCAAUUCGGCCCUGCCCUGGAGCUCCAGUGGAGAUGUUGAAUGCAAAUGAGGAUCAGCAUGUGUAUGAUGAUUCAGAGCAGUUGUAACAGGUGUGUGUCUAUCGACGUGUAUGUUAGAUGAACGCACGCCUGCGUGUGAGGAUGCUGUCUGGAGGCACUUCGGGGGCCAUGUAUGCUCCUGUGCAGUGAUGAUGUGAUCGUGGGCACGGAGGCCUCUGUUGUACGAGACAGCUACUCUUCCCUCACGGGGUUGUCUGGAUGAGGUCAGCCCAGCUGUGUCUGCACAGCGCAGUGCCAGGACCAUCAGAGGAAGCAGCCGACGGCAGCCGUCACAACUACCAUUAUUGUUGCACAGGGAUCGAUAAAGCCUCUCCCCACCUCAUACAACUUCCUCCACAUUGAUCGUGUACAAAAGGCAGGAUGCUCAGAGGGGUUCAGAAGGGCCCACUCUUCCCAGCAAAGGGGUGGGAUCCCAGAGAGCUUCCUGGAAAAGACGAUUUCUGAGUCUUAAAGGAGGACAGCUGAAUCUCACCAAAGGAGUCCAGUGUGAGGCCAACCAGGCCAAGGAGAGAAUUCCGCUGAGGUGUGAGAAGGGAGCCGCGAGGACCCUGCUGAGCCUCAGGCCUCGGGCCUGUGCAGGAAGCCUGCUUCAGGCUGCAGGGCCAGGCAAGUCCUAUGACUGCGCAGCACUCCUGGAAGAAUUCAACCAAACCAGAGGCACUGGGGCUGAAGAGUCUCAGAAAAUCUUUCUAGGCCAAAAGAUCUUCUCUACCCAGGUGGCAGGCUGCCCAGGGAGGUGCUCCUUCAGUGAGGGACCUGCUGGGAGGGUUGUGGCAAGCACAGCGGUCAGCCCCUUCAGGAGAGCCUCAGCUGCCCGGGGAAGCCCUGCCCAAGAUCCUUCCCUUCCCCCACAGCCCACAUCUGGGGACUGACGGAGUAUAACCAUCUGGCCAUUGCAGCCCAAGUCAGGACAACCCUGAGGGGUGGAGAGAAGCUCCAGGGCUUCUCUGAGGAGUCAGCUGAGACUGUCAUGGGCUGAACUCUGUCCAGAGAAGGCCCUGAGCCCAGUGGGGAUACUGGAGAAGGAGACAAGAAAGAUAAACCAGGGGCCAGACUGUCAUGGGGGAAGAUAUGACCCCCUCAAUGGACAAGACUCCAUCUUCUUCAUCCCCAGAUCUCUAGCCCUUAGCAAAGGAAGUGCCCUGCAUUUGCCCAGCAGAAAGCAAGUGGUCAUUAGAGUGAGAUGAAGUCCAAAAGGCUGUGUAAAUGAUAAUAGCUCCAUUUCUCAAGCCUCCAGCAGGUGCCAGGCACAUUUACAUAUUAGCAGCUCAUUUAAUACAGUUAAGUAGCUUCGAUCUGCUGAUUUGCUAAUGAGACUAGUUUAAGCUGCCCAAGGUCACUAAGUGGAAUUCACAGCCAGCUGUGCCUGACUCCCCCUGCAUGCUGUCCCCCUAGGCCACGCCGAUCCUCAUUAGGGGAGCCAGAGAGAGUAGCUGUCCAAGGUCUUCGGCAGGCAGCAAGCCCAUGCUCUCCCUUCCAGGUGAGGGAGCACAGAGACAGGGUCAGAGGGGCUCUGAGUAAACGGAUGGGGAUAAAGGUGAAAUGACGGUACCAUUACCCUUAUUCCGCCCAUAACCUCUCUCAUGCUCUGUAGCCUCCUUCUUCCAUCCCUUUCUUCCACAAACACUUACUGAGCACCUGCUGUGUGUCAGGCCCUGUGCUAGCACCAAAGUGAACACAAUGGACACAAAAGUCCUGCCUUCACGCAGCUUAGGCUCAAAUGAUGAACACAGGAGACAGCCAUAAUCAAGUGAUUUCAGGAUCAGGAACGGAGGGGUGGUGGAGAUAUUCCCACACGCUUGCUCUUCCUGCGGCAGACGCUGCUCCCAGCGCAGGAGGAAGCCCAGCGUUGGUGCGUUUGUUCUGUUCCCAGAGGCCUUUGUGUUGCUGGGUGAGCCUGGGCUGCAGGCUGCUGUUGCCAAGCACCCAGAAGCCAUCCUCCCCUUUCUGGCUUUUGUGAAAACACAUCUUUGGAGGAAUUAUGCUGUGUUGUCUG